UAUCCGAUCGAGUUCUGCUGCGGCGGAACGCUAUCGAGAGGUCUGCGUGGUUACUGUUUCAUAGAGUUACGGCGGCCAUAGCGACAGGGAAACGCCCGGUCCCAUUCCGAACCCGGAAGCUAAGCCUGUCUGCGCCGAUGGUACUGCACUCGACAGGGUGUGGGAGAGUAGGACACCGCCGAAC
rnacentral:rRNA from 1 species